CUGCACUUACUUGUAAAAAAACCACAGCGGGGGAUAAGACCUUGUUCAACGCUUUCCCUGAGUUUAGAAGACAAAACGCGGGAGGAACAAGGGACCGUCUCCGAAACAUGGGACAUUGCAUAUUCCAAAAGCUGAGGAAAAGAAACCAACAGGGAUUGCCUCAGUAACGGCGAGUGAAGCGGCAAAAGCUCAAAUUUGAAACCCUCGGGAUUGUAAUUUGAAGAUUUGGCAUUGGAGAAAGCUAACCCAAGUUGCUUGGAAUAGUACGUCAUAGAGGGUGACAACCCCGUCUGGCUAACCGUUCUCCAUGUAUUGCCUUAUCAAAGAGUCGAGUUGUUUGGGAAUGCAGCUCAAAGUGGGUGGUAAACUCCAUCUAAAGCUAAAUACUGGUGAGAGACCGAUAGCGAACAAGUACUGUGAAGGAAAGGUGAAAAGAACUUUGAAAAGAGAGUGAAAUAGUAUGUGAAAUUGUUGAUAGGGAAGGAAAUGAGUGGAGAGUGGCCGAGGUUUCAGCCGCCCCUCGUGGGCGGUGUACUGCCGACGCCGAGUCAUCGAUAGCGAGACGAGGGUUACAAAUGGGAGCGCCUUCGGGCGUUCUCCCCUAACCCUCCACACUGCCACCGACGACUGCCCCGC
rnacentral:rRNA from 1 species